UGAUAACAAACAUCAUCAAUGGUGGCCUUGAAUGUGGUCAGGGAGGGCCAAAUGAUGCAAACGAGGAUCGCAUUGGGUUCUACAAGACAUACUGUGAUUCACUCGGAACGACCUAUGGCUCCAAUCUUGACUGCUACCAGCAAAAGCCUUUUGGAUAUGGACUCUUGGGAUUGAAGGAUACCAUGUAAUUUGAUGUUGAAGCUAUCAUGUCUUUAAAUAACGAAAGCUUUUAGCUUAUCGACCUUUUCUAUUUCCACCGGUAGGAUUAAAUCAUGCUGUGGAAGUCCAAAGCGUUCUCUAUUUUCCUAAUAGAGUUGCGGAGCUUUUGAUGGUUUUUGACGCGAGGUGCAACUAUAACCCAUAAAACAAGAUUAAAAAAAAAAAAAAAACCCUAGUAUCAAUUUAAAUUACAUAGAAGAAGAAGAAGUCAGGAACAUCGCUGUUAGCUAGUUAUCUAUAUAUAUCAUCACUUAAAGAUUCUUUGAAAGAGUCUAGUUAAUAAUCAAGGUGCAACUAGCAUAAUAAAGUUCGGUCUAUAUUGGUGGCCAGGAAAAAGAUUGAGAGUGAUUUUUAUGAGCAGAUAAAACUGGAUUUGUCUAGGUUUAAUGGACCAGCAACACCCGAAAGAAAAAUACUCUAAUAUUUAUAUCAGUAUAGUACAUAUACAGGUGAGGUGACGGGAAGAGAAUAAAUGAUAUUCUCUAAAUUUAAUGUUUUUAAUUAAAACCGUGUUUAAAUUUAUAUUAGACUUGUGUUAUUUAGACAUAUAUAAAAUAUAGAGAAAUAAAAUUAAAAAAAUUAUAUAUAUAUUUUUAAGAUAAAUAUAUUAAAAAUAUCUAAAUUACAAUUUAUUUUAUAUAAAUAUCUCAUUAAUAUCCAAAGAAAUUUAUAAAAAUAUCUAUAAAGAUAUGUAAAUUAUUAUAUAAUACUAUAAUGAGAAUAAUAAAGAAAAAUGAUUGGAUGAACCAAGCAAAGCAAAGACCAACUUAUCGAUUGGAUGAACCAAGCAAAGCAAAGACCAACUUAUCUGAUGCUAGUGGGCUGACUAGGCUCGCCUAACUUGAAUCCUGAUUAGAGUUUUUACAAACGUGAUUGUAUUAGUAUUUAAAAAAAAUUAAAAUUUAUAUAUAUAUAUAUAUAUAUAUAUAUAUUAGAUUGAUAUGUUAAUUUUAAAAUUAAUUUUUUUAAAAAAUAAAAAAAAUAUUUUAAAAAACAACCACAUCCUCACACCCACUUUCAAACUAAAAAUGGUAAUAUUUAUACAUCAUGCCACGUGUAAAUUAACAAUCUUGGAACGAUAUUGUUCAAGUGCAUGAACCAAACUAAACCUAAUUUAGUAGCAAGCAAUUUCCCUUUUCACUUUUUGAGAUAUCUCCCUCUUCAAAAAGUCAAACAUAGUAGAGUUGAUAAUUCUACGAGUGAAGUGACAUAUUUUGUUGUUUUUCUUGACAACGCGGACACUGGGUUUAAGAGCUAUAAUUAUUGUUUUUCUAGUGACAGGCUCGAGUCUGUAGGUAGGUUUAUUUGAAACAUCACAAGUUAUAUGAUAAGAAAGUUUCCUUUGAUUUUUAUUUUUUUUAUCCUUUUUACUUUGGAUUUUAGGAUUAGUGUUGACAAAUAUUUAUUUUUCUGAAAUAUAAAUAAAUAUGAAUUAAUAUACAAGUUGAUUUGAAAGGAUUCCUAGCUCUUGAAAUAAAAUAAAUAAGUAAAUUGAUUUUAUAUAAUCAAAGUCGAGAAAGAUUUUGAGGACUAUAAAAAAGAAGGAACUAAAGCCAGAAGAAAACAUAUUCUAAAAAAAUAAUAUUUUUCUCUACUAAAAGAAAGAGGAAGAUGAAUAAAAAAUGCUUUUUAUUGAUAUUUUUCUCACCAAUAAAUUGAUUAACCCUCGGCCCACAACAAAACAAUAAAUCAUCUCCAAUUUCCACGUUUUGAGAAGAACUUAUCUCUAGUACCUGCUUUCUUGUCCUCAUGUAAAUAACUCCCAAAUGACAAAAACGUUAUUAAAGAGCAUAUUCCUACAUGAACCCUUGUGAUAGAAUUUCAACGCUCGAUAUCUCCUCUUCUUCUCUCUAAUGGAUUUAAAAUAAAUUAACCCCUGUCAAUACGACACUAUCCCUGAUCAACCGGUGUCUAUCGCACUCUAAACUAAAGUGAUGGGCCAACAUCAGCUGAUAUUUACAGCAAAAGUCACGCACAUGAAGCUAGAGAUUAAUCUAUGUUAUCGGGAAAAAAAAGUUAAGAAAAGGAAGGCAGAAGACUAGACCCUAAAAGCCGCCAUCUACUGUUCAUCAAUUUAUUAUAUCUUCUCUUUAAUUAAUACAUAGAUGUUAAAUCCUCAUGAGGUCAGACUAUUAUGGUUUAAAAUCAUCUAGAAAAGUACUAGAUUGGAUAAAUGAGCAGCCAUCAUUAUUGAAACAGUCCACAGUUUUUAUUAACAAGCGACAGAAAUAUUAAGUAUUAAGUGACAGAAGUAUUAUUGAAACAGUCCACAGUUUUUAUUAACAAGUGACAGAAGUAUUAAGUAUUAAGUGACAGAAGUAUUAAGCAGCCAUGUUUUUCCUGGUAGGUAAUUCAGUCAUAAAAAUUAAAAAUAAUUUUUUAUAAUUUUAAAUUCGAGUUUUAUAAUUAAUAAUAUAAUAAUUAUUAAAAUUUAUAUAAUCGUUAACUUUAAAUAUUUUUUUAUAGUUUUAAAUUCAAGUCCUAUAAUUAAUAAUAUAAUAAUCAUUAUAUACUUAUAUAAUCAUUAAUUUUAAAAUAUAUAAAAUUUAUCAAGAUUAACACAGGCUAAUCUAAAUACUUAAAUUAAUUUUAAAAAAGAGUCACAUUUCCCCUAUAUAUACUAAUGCUGUUACGAUCUCAAAAUCAACAAAUCCCAAACAAAACACUUCAAAAUGAAGAUCUGGGCCUUCACGGUUUUCUCUCUAUUGCUGUCCCUUUUACUAGGAGGCUCAGCUGAGCAGUGUGGAAGCCAGGCCGGGAGUGCCCUGUGUCCGGGAGGUCUAUGUUGUAGCCAAUUUGGUUGGUGUGGCAACACAAAUGAUUACUGUGGUAGCGGCUGCCAAAGCCAGUGCGGUGGUGCGAGCGAAGGAGACCUUGGCAGUAUCAUCUCAAGUACGAAGUUUGAUGAGAUGCUUAAACAUAGAAAUGAUGGUGGAUGCCCUGGCAAGGGAUUCUACACUUACAAUGCUUUCAUCUCAGCUGCCAAUGCCUUCUCUGGCUUUGGCACUACUGGUGAUGCUGCCACUCGUAAAAGGGAGAUCGCUGCUUUCUUGGGCCAAACCUCACAUGAAACUACUGGUUCGUUUAAUCGGUCUCAAACCUAAUCACUGAGCUUAGUUUAUAUACUUCUUCAAAUAACAUUAUAUAUCAGAGGAAUAUUAGUAAGUUAAUUAUCAUGAUUUCAUUUGAUGAAUGUACAUGUAGGAGGGUGGCAAACUGCACCUGAUGGUCCAUACGCUUGGGGAUAUUGCUUUGUCAAGGAACAAAAUCCUGGAUCUUAUUGUUCUCCAAGUUCCACAUAUCCAUGUGCUGGUGGCAAGCAGUAUUAUGGCAGAGGUCCUGUCCAGCUUUCAUGGUAAGUCCAGAUUUUUUAUUAUUGUUAUCUGGUAGGUAUUUUUUUCUUCAUUUCUGGGUUUACAUAUUCAUCCACCCAUUUUCAAGCAUUAAAAAUCAAAUUGAAAGAAUUCAAGUGUGUGUGUGUGUUAUUUAGCACGACUUUGCAGUGAAGUUAAUUUAAUUUGAUAAAUAUGACACAGGAACUACAACUACGGGCAGUGUGGAAAAGCUAUAGGAGUGGAUCUAUUAAACAACCCUGACCUAGUUGCAACCGAUCCAGUAAAGAAGGGAGUUGCUGCAUCAGUAUCUUAAACCCAGAUGCCAAUUUAUGUCAUGCUCUCUGUUUCUGAUUAUUCAAAUCUAAAAUUGAUCAAAACCCGCCUGUUACUUGUACCCACACGAAGAGAGAGAGAAAAGUAGUAAUACUAAUAAUAACAAUACUGACCAGCUAGAACCGAUAAGGCAAUACUGACCAGCUAGAAACGAUAAGGUCUCUCCGAUUAGGAGAAGCCACGUUUGGAGGUCCGGAGACAUGAAACGCAUAUGGGUGUGCUUCUUCUUCUUGAACCACCACCAUAUCCCUCUUCUGUACUUCACCACUACAGCUGUUUGUCAUUUACAGUUUAUAUCCUUCUUCUUCUCCGUAUAGUUUGAGACACAGACAGAGAUUGAGAGAAGGAAACUGUGCGUGGAUUCGGUUUCGCUGAGAUUUGAUAAGUUUCCUUCUUUCUCAGCUUUUUAAUUGGUUAGCUUUGCUUCCAUGGAAUCUGAUUCUCUCCCUGUUUGAUUCAAUUGCUGCACUAUUCAAAUUCUUUCUUUCAAAUCACAAUAUUUGAAAGCCUAACGUUGUCGGUUUAUAAUUAAAUGACUUUUUUGUCCCUGGAAAGUGUUUUUUGUUCCCGGAUGAGUAUGAAAGCGUGUGUGCUGUGUCUCGGGAAAGGGAAAGGAGCCAGGUUCCUUUACCGGGCUCUAUCUUCCACGAGAAGUAAAGUUAAUGGGUUGUAGGGGUAUUUUUGGUAUUGACGAUGGGACUUUCUGUGGCCUUCAGCUUAGGCUUUGCUGUGCUGUUUGUAUUUUAAAAAUAUUAAUUUUUUUAUAUUUUAAAUUAAUAUUUUUGUUGUAUUUUUGGAUUAUUUAAUGUAAUAAUUUUAAAAUUAAAAAUUAUUUUAAUAUAUUUCUGGAAAAAAACCCAACAAAACAUACUAAAUUUUUAAAUAUUUUAAAGUCUUUUUUAUCUAUCCAUGCCUUCAAGCUUUAUGCCCACUGCGCUUCUUUUAUAGACAGUCAGGAAAGAUAUGGAGACUCGUUGUUUUUGCUAAUAGAGUUGGGGGCACAAAUUAAUUAAGCAGCCCGAAAAUGGAUGGGAAAAUUGAUUAGAGCAAUUUAUAACUCCUCUGUGUAGUUGUAAACUUGGAACAACCCAAGACUUGGUUAACCUAGAGCCCGUACAGGUUUGGAUUAAAAAAAAACUUGACUGAUCUAAUCAUAAAUAUGAAUCGACUUGCUAACUCAAUUAAAACUCAGUCCUCAGCUAUUGACUUUAUUUUUAGAAGAAAAAAAAUAAACAAACAUUAUUAUUUUAAAUUUUUAAAAAAUAUAGUUUAGAGACUAACCCUCCCAAUCCGUAAUCAAUGUCUGGCUCGAGUUAACUCAGAUUGGGUUAUACAACUGUGCUCUUCUAUGUCACUCUUCUGGAUUUUGGAUUAGACUAUUCUAAGCUAGAUUUAUACUUUCCACACUUGUUUAGAGCCUUUAAGCUUAAAAUUAUAAUGACUACCUUGCAUGUCAGGCCUGUCUAAGAACCCACGACCACUUCUAGAAGCCCACAUACUUGGACCAAAGGCUUGGAUCGUGUAGAGGAGUCAUUGGUCCCGGACCCGACUCAAGUAUCCUUCUCCUCUUCUUCUUUUUUUAAUCUUUAUUUUAAAAAUCACAUAAUAAGAUCCUAGAUAAUUAAAAUGUAAAAAAUAAUAAACUUCCAUAUUCUAACCACAACACUAUAAAUUAAUAUUUCUAAAUAAAACAACAAAAACCAGACCAUAAUCCAUUCAUGUACACAAUAUAAACAAAAAGAAAAGAUAAAAUAUAUUUUAAAAAAUAUGAUGUUAGGUAUGGAUAGGAUGAUAGAAAAGGUAAACCCUCACCCCAGCCCUCGAUUAGUAAAAUAUUGUUGUUAUCUAUUUUUUGAUUUUCACAUUAAAAAAAACAAAAAAAAAACAUGUAGCAAUAAGAAAAAGAUAUAAGAAUGCCUAGAUAAUGGUCAAGGAUUGAUUGAGAAAGUUCAAGAAUAUAAAGAAUAAAAUUUAACAAUAUAUAUUUUAUUGAUGAAGAUUCUAUUGACAAAGAAAAUUCAAUCCAAUAAAGGAUUGUCCAAAACCAGAUGUUUAAGGACUCAAUUAUAUUUUGUUAAAAGAUUAAUCGAGUUUAUGAAGGGUUUGAUUGCAAAAAAAUUAAUUUUUAAAUCAAUUUAGAUUUUAAUUGAAAGAAAUUAAAUUUAAAAGGCAAUUUGAUCGAACAAUGAAAGAAUUAAUAAAUUUGGAUAUUUAAUUAAACUUUGAUUUAAUUAAUACAAUAAAAACUUAAUUAAAGAAAUACUAAACUUUGAUUUAUAAAGGUUUUUAUUGUAAGAAAUUAAAAUCUAGAAAAAAGAACAAGACAAGAAAAAAGAAACCAAGCAAAGAAAAGCAAGACCAGAGGAGAAGGCACAAAGAGCAGAGGCAGAGGGGAAGAAAGUAGCUUUGGCCUGUCAGCAUAUAUGUAACAUGUAUCGCAGUAAUCGUAACGAGGGUUAAUUGUGUGAUGGAGGCCUAUGUUACAGCCAAUAUGAUUGGUGUGGCCUCUUCUAACAUUAAUCGAAUUGCGUUUUGUUACGUAUGUUUUUUAUCAAAUAUUUUCGGUCACAAAUCCAUCAUGAGGCGUGUUUGUGAAGGAUUUUUGCUUGUUUAUAACUGAAAAUUCGAUCACAAAAAUAGCUUUUUUUUAGGUUUUUUUUGAAAAUAUAAUAUUGAUUUUUUUAAAAUAAUAUUUUUCAAUUAAAAAUAUAUUAAAAUAAUAUUUUAAUUUUUUAUUAUACGAAGAAUAUUCUUUAUGUGUAAAAGAAUAAUGUCACUUAAAAAUUUAAUUUUUUAAGCAAAGUCUUAAUAAUAUAUUUUUUUAUAGUAUUUUUUAAUACAUAAUUUUUAAAUAAAAUCUAUUUAAGUUUAAAACUUAUACUGGGAUAUAUUACUUUAUAUUUAAUUUUUAAAAUCUCACAACACAUAUAAUAUUUAUAGUUUUAUUAUUUAAUAUAAUUAUAUACAUUUCAAAUAUAUAUUUUAUAAUUUUAUUUUUUUAAUGAAAAAUAAAAAUUUUAUAAGUAUAAAUAUCUGAAAUCUAAUGAAUAAGAUAUAAAUAUUUAAUUUGUUUAUUAAUAAAUAAUAAAUAAAAUAUAAAUACGAGGAAAUCGAUACGAGGAUACUAUUGCCGCUGUUUUGUAUUGGACCUUCGGCUUUCGUCUUGCAGUGUUCCGUACCCUAGGAUGCUCUCUCUAGCUAGCGUCGAAGUUGCUUUAAUAAAUACUCUGCCAUGUGCAUUAAUAUCGUACCAAUUUGGCUCUGUUGAUAAUUAAUUCCACCGAGCACGUUUUAUUCAUUGAUAUGGACUUUCUAAAAGGAGCGGGACCAUCUCCUAUGAGAGAUGUUAUAUUAAAUAACUAAAUUGGUAACAUAGUUUUUUAAAUAAUAUAUAUUUAUUUAUUUAUAUGUAUUUUAAUGGUAAAAAACUAUUUAAAAAAAUCAAUUAUAUUUUAAUAUAUUUUAUAAUUUAACUAAUUUAGUUAUUUUUAUAUAAUAUAAUCAUGAUAUUAUUAAUUAUAUAAUUAAUAUGAGUAAUUUAUUAAAUUAAUAAAGUAAUAUGAAAGUUAAAAGAUAUAGUUUUAAGUUUAAAUUUAAAAUUUAUUUAUAUGAAUAUUUUUAUUUUUAUAUUAAUGUUAAAUUUUUGAUUUUUGAAGUUGAGGCACAAAUGCUUUGAGAUUUGUAAGUUUCUGUUUUUGUGUGUUUUUAAAGAGAGAAAAAAAAAGAGAUGUUGGCUAGGCAAGUUGUUAAUUAUUUUCUUACUUUUAUUUUUAUUAUUUGAUGAUGGAUUUUUUAAUUAUUUUCUAAUUAAUCUCUGCUUGUUAAUUUUUAUCAAGCCUAAUAAGGUGGGUGUUACGUCGACACUUGGCAUCUUAAUGUGUUGUGCCACUUGUGUUCAAAAAUUUUGGACAUGGAAAAAACCAGAAUACAACAAAAAAACAUGCCAAUAAUGAUCCACAGUUAGAGUAAAACAUUGACAACUAACUAAUUGAUUCUAAUAAAAAUACCUUGUUGUUAAAUCUUUAUUAAAUAAAGACAUUCAAAUAGCCAUGAGUAAGAAUACAUGCCCUAAAAUAGAAAAUCAAGAAUAAAAUAUUCAAUCAGAAAUAAAAUAAACAAUUCAUGUUUAUUAGAGAAAUUUAAAUAUAGAAAAUUAAAGAGAUUAAUACACCUUAAGUUAAUAUGACACGAAUUUUCAUUAGGAUAUUUCAAUUAUUUUUAUUUUAUCUAUUAAUUUGAUAAAUUUUAUUUCAUAUUUUGAAAAAAAAUCAUCUCUUCAAAAAUACUGGAUCUUCCAAUCUUGUGGUGGUGAUUAUUAAACUAAGAACCAUUGAUUUUGCAAAAACAAAAAACAAAAAACAAAAGGCCACCCAAAGAAAAGUGUGUGGCUGGACCACUGGUUGGAUUCCUCAGGAUAUUUUAAUCAUUUUUAUUUUUCUAUUAUUAGGACAUAUUUUAUUUAAUAUUUUGAAGAAACAAAAUCAUCCAUUCGAAAUAAUGGAUCUUCAAAUCUUGUGUUGAUGAUUAUUAAAAUAAGAUUUGACCACGCAAAGAAAAGUUUCUGGCUGGAUUCCUUAAGUUUAUUUGAAAGCGAUCACAUUUUACCUUUCUUUUUUUUGUCUUUUGGACACAGCAAGCGGUGUCGCAUUUUGUUCCACACAGCUGCGAUGCUUAGCUUUCAGAUCCGUCCGAAGGCUAAAAUCCAUAAUCUAUUUCAUGACAUUUAUGUCUGUUUUUCUUUUAAAAGUCAUUUUACAUUUUCAAAUUCACAAAAGUGUUGUGGAUUCUUUAUCUCGAUUCUGGCUUAACGUUGAUUAUUGUGUUUUUUUUUUUCUCUACAUUCUGUGAGAUCCUUAAUUAUAUAUGAACUCCAUAAUUUCUAAGAAGUUAUCUUUCAGACUUUCCAAAAUCUAUUACCGGAUUGGUUUUGUUUUGAGUUUAAUUAUUAAUUAGUUAAUUUUAAUAUAUUAUUAUUGGGAUCUUUCAAGCUUCACCAUUACUUUUGUGGGAUUUGUCAAUGAUUUCUUACCUCAGGAUGUUUUGAAUGAUUAUCUUUGAAACCCUCGAAAUUCUAUCAUUCAUUGAACAAGUCGUGGUUUGACAAUUACAUAGUUUAUUUAAGUAUACAAAUACUAAUAAUAUCUUUACAAAUUUUAUUUAUUUUUAUAUACAAAAUAUAUAAUACCUGCAAUAUCAAAUAGUUUUUUUUUUUAUCGUCCAUAUAAUUAAGGAAUUACUAAAAUAACAUUUUAUAAUAUUUUAAAGAAAAGACAUUAUAGUGUCAAAUUAGAUACCCUAAGUUUUGGGGAUAGAAUAAUAAAUUUAUUUAAAUUCUACAUAAAUCUCCCGGUAUAAACUAAAUAAUGAAAACAUAUUAUUAAUUUUUUUAAAAAAAUUAAUCAAAUAUAAAAAUAAUAUUAUCAGUUAUAACAUUAAAAAAAACAUAAUUAUCAAAAUAAAUUUCUCUUAUAAAAUUUAUUUCAAUACAUUAAUAGCUUAAAUUUAUUUCAGUUUCAAUUAACAACUCUAACAUGAUAGCUAUAUAAUAACUAAAAUGUUAUUUUUUUAUUCUAAAAUGUUAUUUCUAUACUUUCUUGUAAAACAACCAAAAGUAAGAGAAAAUACAUAUACCAGCCAACAUCUCUUUUUUUUUUCUCCUCUUUAAAAACACAAAAAAAACAAAACCUGCAAAUCUCAAAGCCUUUAUGCCUCAACUUCAAAAAUCAAAAUUUUAACAGUCAUAUAUAAAAUUUAAAAUAUUCAUAUAAAUAAAUUUAAAGUUUUAAAAUUUUCAAUUUAAACUUAAAAUUAUAUCUUUUAAUUUUCAAAUUACUUCAUUAAUUUUAUAAAUUACCCAUAUUAAUUAUAUAAUUAAUAAAAUUAUGAUUAUACUAUAUAAAAAAUAAUUAAAUUAGUUAUAUAAUUAUAUUAAGUUAAUUUAAUUAUUAAAAGUAUGUUAAAAUAUAAUUGAGUCUUUUAAAUAGUUUUUUACUAUUAAAAUGCAUAUAAAUAAAAAAAAUUAUUCAUUUUAAAAAAAUUAUUUUAUUAAUUUAGCUAUUAAAUAUAUCAUCUCUCAUGGAGAUGGUCCAGCUCUAAAAAGUCCAUAUCAAUGAAUAAAACGUGCUCGAUGGAAUUAAUGAAAUUAAUGCACAUGGCAGGGUAAUAAUAAAGCAACUUGGACGCUAGCUAGAGAGAGCAUCCUAGGGUACGGAACACUACAAGGCGAAAGCCGAAGGUCCAAUACAAAACAGCGGCAAUCUGAUUUUUUUUUUUUUUUUUUCCUGCGAGGAAGUUGUCGUACCUUCUUAUCAGCAUGGAAAUGAUGGGGACAAAGAUGGCACUUUCGUUACCGUCUCCAUGGAAAACACGAUGUUUUAUUACAAAUUAUUAUAAGGACGGAAAUGCCAUCGUAUACCUCUAUUAUUGGCUAUAUAUACCCCCAUGCUUUCACCUUCUCAACCAUCAACGAACUCAAGCAUAUUAACAAGAAAUGAGUGUUUGGGCAUUCGCAUUUUUCUCCUUAUUCUUGUCCCUUUCGGUUAGAGGCUCAGCUGAGCAAUGCGGCAAGCAAGCCGGGGAUGCCUUGUGCCCAGGAGGCCUAUGUUGUAGCCAACAUGGUUGGUGUGGGACAACGAAUGAUUAUUGCGGUAAUGGCUGUCAGAGCCAGUGUGAUGGAGGAGGCGGGGGUGGUGGAGGCGGUGGUGGAGGUGGAGGUGAUGGUUACUUAAGUGACAUCAUCCCAGAAUCAAUGUUUGAUGAAAUGCUCCCGUAUAGAAAUGAUCCUCGAUGUCCUGCUGCUGGGUUCUACACCUAUGAUGCUUUUAUCUCCGCUGCUAAGGAAUUCCCUGAUUUUGGUAACAUUGGUGAUGAUCAGAUGCGUAAAAGGGAGAUUGCUGCUUUCUUCGGCCAGACAUCUCAUGAAACUACCGGUAGGGUUUUAUUUUUUAUUUAAUUCCUUGCUCAUAACUUCAAUCAAAGUAGACUCGUUGUACAAACUCAUUAUGUAAUUAAUUAAAUAAGGUUAUCCUUGGUUGAUUAAUUUGCUUGUCUCUAAUUUGACAAUGCAUGCUCCUACAUAAAGGAGGGUGGCCAACUGCACCUGAUGGCCCAUACGCUUGGGGAUAUUGCUUUCUUAGGGAAAUAAAUUGUCAAGAUUAUUGUGACCCAUCUUCCAAAUAUCAAUGUGUUGCGGGCAAGCAAUACUGUGGCCGAGGACCAAUCCAACUUUCAUGGUAAUUCCGCAAGGCCUUGACGAGCAGAGUCAUUUAAUUCAGUUUAUAGGUUAAGUAAUUUUUUUAUAUAUGGAAUAUAUUUUGUGAAGUACUUGCAUUGAGUUAGUUUAUUAACAUGUGGUGCAGGAACUAUAAUUAUGGGCUCUGCGGAGACGACUUGAAUUUGCCACUGUUACAAGAACCAGAACUUGUUGAGACUGAUCCGGUCAUUGCCUUCAGGACAGCACUCUGGUUUUGGAUGACACCACAGUCCCCAAAGCCCUCUUGUCACGCAGUCAUCACUGGAAGUUGGACACCGAACGAGGUAGACUCGCAGGCUGGUAGGGUUCCAGGCUAUGGUGUGAUAACAAACAUCAUCAAUGGUGGCCUUGAAUGUGGUAUGGGUGGGCCAAAUGCAAACGAGAAUCGCAUUGGGUUCUACAAGACAUACUGUGAUAAACUCGGAACAACCCCUGGCCCCAAUCUUGACUGCUACCAGCAAAGGCCUUUUGGAUAUGGACUCUUGGGAUUGAAGGACAUCAUGUAAUUUGAUGUUGAAGCUAUCAUGUUUUUAAAUAACGAAAGCUUUUAGCUUAUCGAC
rnacentral:lncRNA from 1 species